AGAGUUUGAUCCUGGCUCAGGACGAACGCUGGCGGCGCGCCUAACACAUGCAAGUCGAACGAGCGAGAGAGAGCUUGCUUUCUCGAGCGAGUGGCGAACGGGUGAGUAACGCGUGAGGAACCUGCCUCAAAGAGGGGGACAACAGUUGGAAACGACUGCUAAUACCGCAUAAGCCCACGGCUCGGCAUCGAGCAGAGGGAAAAGGAGCAAUCCGCUUUGAGAUGGCCUCGCGUCCGAUUAGCUAGUUGGUGAGGUAACGGCCCACCAAGGCAACGAUCGGUAGCCGGACUGAGAGGUUGAACGGCCACAUUGGGACUGAGACACGGCCCAGACUCCUACGGGAGGCAGCAGUGGGGAAUAUUGCACAAUGGGGGAAACCCUGAUGCAGCGACGCCGCGUGGAGGAAGAAGGUCUUCGGAUUGUAAACUCCUGUUGUUGGGGAAGAUAAUGACGGUACCCAACAAGGAAGUGAGGGCUAACUACGUGCCAGCAGCCGCGGUAAAACGUAGGUCACAAGCGUUGUCCGGAAUUACUGGGUGUAAAGGGAGCGCAGGCGGGAAGACAAGUUGGAAGUGAAAUCUAUGGGCUCAACCCAUAAACUGCUUUCAAAACUGUUUUUCUUGAGUAGUGCAGAGGUAGGCGGAAUUCCCGGUGUAGCGGUGGAAUGCGUAGAUAUCGGGAGGAACACCAGUGGCGAAGGCGGCCUACUGGGCACCAACUGACGCUGAGGCUCGAAAGUGUGGGUAGCAAACAGGAUUAGAUACCCUGGUAGUCCACACCGUAAACGAUGAUUACUGGGUGGUUGAAGGAUUGACCCCUUCAGUGCCGCAGUUAACACAAUAAGUAAUCCGCCUGGGGAGUGCGACCGCAAGGUUGGAAAGUCGGAGGGAUUGACGGGGGCCCGCACAAAGCAGUGGAGUAUGUGGUUUAAUUAGACGCAACGAGAAGAACCUUACCAAGUCUUGACAUCCCUUGACAGGCAUAGAAAUAGUGUUUUCUCUUCGGAGCAAGGAGACAGGUGGUGCAUGGUUGUCGUCAGCUCGUGUCGUGAGAUGUUGGGUUAAGUCCCGCAACGAGCGCAACCCUUAUGGUCAGUUACUACGCAAGAGGACUCUGGCCAGACUGCCGUUGACAAAACGGAGGAAGGUGGGGAUGACGUCAAAUCAUCAUGCCCUUUAUGACUUGGGCUACACACGUACUACAAUGGCGUUAAACAAAGAGAAGCAAGACCGCGAGGUGGAGCAAAACUCAGAAACAACGUCCCAGUUCGGACUGCAGGCUGCAACUCGCCUGCACGAAGUCGGAAUUGCUAGUAAUCGUGGAUCAGCAUGCCACGGUGAAUACGUUCCCGGGCCUUGCACACACCGCCCGUCA
rnacentral:rRNA from 1 species